GGUGAACGCUGGCGGUAGGCCUAAUACAUGCAAGUCGAACGGCAGCACAGUAAGAGCUCGCUCUUACGGGUGGCGAGUGGCGGACGGGUGAGGCAUACAUCAGAUUCUACUUAUUCGUGGGGGAUAACGUAGGGAAACUUACGCUACUACCGCAUACGACCUACGGCUGAAAUCAGGGGAUCAUCGGACCUUGCGCGAUUGAAUGAGCCGAUGUCGGAUUAGCUAGUUGGCAGGGUAAGGGCCCACCAAGGCGACGAUCCGUAGCUGGUCUGAGAGGAUGAUCAGCCACACUGGAACUGAGACACGGUCCAGACUCCUACGGGAGGCAGCAGUGGGGAAUAUUGGACAAUGGGCGCAAGCCUGAUCGAGCCAUACCGCGUGAGUGAAGAAGGCCUUCGGGUUGUAAAACCCUUUUGUUGGGAAAGAAAAGCAGCAGGAUAAUACCCCGCUGUUCUGACGGUACCCAAAGAAUAAGCACCGGCUAACUUCGUG
rnacentral:rRNA from 1 species